ensembl:lncRNA
UCAGACAUAUCUUCGUUAUUGGUCUUUCCGAUAUGUUGGUUUUUGUCUGAAGUCGGACGAUACGCACAAGGCCUUGUGCAUCUGCUUUCGUCUCCAGUAUUCUACCCAUUGACCAGGAGCCUCGUGGUGCAGUGGAGUCGACCACCACAACUAUGUCACCUGGGGCGAAGCUCCUUUUUACCUUUGACCACCGCUGUCGUUCUUGAAUUAAUGGUAAGUACUCCUGUGUCCACCUUUUCCAAAAGAGAUCUGCCAUGUAUUGUACUUGUCUCCAUCUGCGCCUUAGAUACAAGUCCUCUCUUACGAAGAGUCCAGGUGGUAGUAUCGGCUUGGUUUUCAAUAGAAGGAGCUCUUUCAGCUCCAACAAAGUUUGUUGCGUUGUCUGAUCUUAAAGACUGCACUUGACCUCGCCGACAAAUAAAUCUUCGUAGUGUAUGGAUGCAGGAGUCUGUGUCAAGAGCAUAUGCAUCUUCGAGAUGCACUGCCCUGCUUGGCAUGCAGGUGAAGAUUACGCCAUAUCUUUUAACAAGACUUUGUCCUCUUUUGAUCGCUAUAGGGCCGAAGUAGUCUACUCCUACAUCAGUAAAUGGAGGCUUGUCUGGUAGAAUCCUUUCCAGAGGUAAGUCUGCCAUUUUCUGUUCCCCAACUCUUCCCCGCAGUCGUUUGCACACAACACAGUUUGUUAUGAUCCUUCUUGCCGCAGAGUUAGCUUUGAUAAUCCAGUACUUUUUACGGAGUCGGGACAGCAUAUGAUUUCUUCCCCCAUGGCCAAUUUGUUCGU